GUGGCUGUAGCUCAAUUGGUUAGAGUACUGGAUUGUGAUUCCAGGGGUUGUGGGUUCAAGUCCCAUCAGCCACCC
rnacentral:tRNA from 1 species